AACAUCGAUGUCGACUUGGCGGUUGUGCCCUUGAGGCGUGGCUUCCGGAGCUAACGCGUUAAGUCGACCGCCUGGGGAGUACGGCCGCAAGGUUAAAACUCAAAUGAAUUGACGGGGGCCCGCACAAGCGGUGGAGCAUGUGGUUUAAUUCGAUGCAACGCGAAGAACCUUACCUACUCUUGACAUCCAGAGAACUUUCCAGAGAUGCUUUGGUGCCUUCGGGAACUCUGAGACAGGUGCUGCAUGGCUGUCGUCAGCUCGUGUUGUGAAAUGUUGGGUUAAGCCCCGCAACGAAAA
rnacentral:rRNA from 1 species